rnacentral:lncRNA from 1 species
UUAGUUCGAAUUAUACAGUCCAAAGUUUAGAAGUACAAAUCAAAAUAUAAACUAUAUCAACCUAUUACACAUCAUUUAAAGUCUAUUGACUAUUAAACACAGCAAUCCAAACAAGUACAAUUCAGGGAGCAGAUAGAAGAAUAUUUUUCAUUUCGUUUUCACCUCAAGGCUACACCAAUUCAAGUUCAUAUAUGUACCUGGAAAAUAGAGCAAAAGGAGAAGGUUGAAGAUCAGCUAAGUAGCAACAAAUAGUAUCAACGGAUCACUUUUAAAUCCCAGGGACUGAUCUCAAAUAAACCAGGAAAAUCAUUUCCUGCAAAUAAAACCAGUAAACAACUCAAAAUAGCCUCAAAUACAAUGGAGAUUGAAUCUAGUGAACCUCUGAAGUUUUAGCACUUCAAACACAUGCAUUUCAAGUCAUUUUAAUCUUAUUUAAGCUAGACAUUCAAAUUGAUAGACGAGGACAGGAAUUAAUCUGAGGGAAACACUCUAAUGAAAUAGUAUUUUUGGGAUUUCUAAGAAUUUAGGAUCUAAAUGGACUUUCUAGCUCUAAAUUACAGCAUUGGCUUUUUGAAUUUGAAAUUCUAACUUUUGAGAGAUCUUCGGGGUUCUGAAACUUUUGGGGAUAUUUUUUCAGGGGUCCAAACUUGAAAAACAAGGCAGUAGGGAUUGCCUUUUAUAGUCAAAAUUUAGGUUUCCCUCAUAUUUCAGUAUUACAACUUUAGUCCUUCUUUUAUUUUGUUUUUUAGCUUAGGCAGCCUCAGCUUUCUGACUUGUGCCUCAAGACUUAAUACUAAAUUAUUAAAAUUCUAUUUCCAACCCCAACUAGAAGGUUCUAGUGGUUUCUAAUUCAUGUUACUGCAGGAAUCUUACGAUCAAAAGGCCUAUAUUACCCUUGAAUUUAAUCUAAAUUACUAACCUAUGUCAAAACUAGACUAACCUUUCUAAACUAACCAUGGUUAACCUGGCAGUUUUGGAAAUCAUUUAGCUAUAACCAAGUAAUCCUUAAAUUGAAUUAGUAAUCCUAUAACCUAAUAAAACUCAUUUAAAAUUAAUUGAUAUAUAACAUAUGACUAAUUUUAUCAGUAAACUAGUAAAACAAUAAGUGAACGAUUCUAAACUCAAACAUGAAAAUAUACUGUAACAAAAUAGCAAAAUCCACAAAACCGAAUGAAUUGUAAAAAACAACAGCAAACAAAUCCAAUCUCUAAUAAACCUACACAAAACUCAAACCAAAAUAGAACAAGCUUAAAUGGAUUUCAAAGAUGAAAACAGCACCAGGGGAAGAAUUUUUAACAUCUAACAUGAAGAUUGAAACUAUAAUCGGAUAUCUAACACAACUAAACCUUAAACAAGCAUGGAAAAAAAUGAACAAAACAAAAUCAAUCAAAAGAGAACCUAGAAAGCCCUACACCACAUGAAUAUUGAACCAUUAAUGAAAGGAAAAAGAUAAGAAAACCUAAAUUCCGAAAUUGAAACUUUCCUUAAGCUAAAUCAGAAAAAGGAACACUUGAAGAAAAAUAGAAGGAAAAGAACUUGGAAACAAUUGUGAAACUAAACAAAACAAAAAGGAUAAUGGGAACUCACCAAUUCCAACCCCCAGGCGGGACUGAACUUCCCAAUUUAACCGCAAAACAUUGUCAAUCGUCUAUUCCCUAUCAAGAACAGGUGACUGACAUCAUUUCGCAAUGAAAUCGUCUCUAAAACCUCAGGAGAUUGAACCCUUGCCCUUGCAUGCAUAACCCUGAAUUAAGCCUUUUAGGGUUUGAACCUUUGAUUUGAUAUACGAAGGGUUCUGGUCAAAUUUGAAGGAAAUUAGCUUGAGAUUUAGGAAGAGGGAAUCAGGGUGAGUCUGGGGUGUAAUUUUUGUGGAUUUUGGCGGUGGCACCACCUAGCCUCGAAUUUAAAUGGAUAUUCGAAGCGGUUUGUUAGGAUUUGAAGGAUGGGCCUUGGGGCAUUGAAAAUAGGAGGAGGAGGGAAUUCAUGGGUGUGAAUUGGGCGGGUUUGGAGCUUCGCCGCCGCUGGCGGUGAAACGGAGGGUUGAUGGAGAGAACAGGUACGAGGAAGACGGGUGUUUGGUCUCUAGGGGUUGAUACACAUUUGCAAAAUUUUAUUUAAAACUUAGAUCGAAUCUUGGGUCGUUGGAUGAUGGGGAGUGAACGAACGAGAUUAGUCCGAUGUCAAACGGUGUCGUUUCAGGCAUUGAGGGUUUGGACCGAGUUAAAGGGUAUUUGGGCUUGGACUGGGGGCUUUAAUUUGGGCUGAAUUUUUUAAAAAGUGGCCCAAAAAGGGUCUUCUAUUAAGGAGACCAAAUUUUAAACUAUUUUUUCUUUUCCUUUUAUAAUUGUAAAUUCCAAAUUAAUUAAUACAUAAUUUAAGCUUAAAAUUAUUAUACUCAUUUCUUCAAACUUGAUUAAGUCCUAAUUUUAAAAAGAAAUUAUGGCAAAAUCCAAAAAGUAAAAAUGCAAAAGAGCUAAUUUUUGUUAUUUUUGCAAUGUUAAUUAACUAAGAAACCUAGGAAAAUAUAAAAUUGGGUCAUAAAUGCAAAUGUGAUAUUUUUUAUAAUUUUCAUUUUUUUUAUGAUGCCUAAGAAUGCACACAAAAUGCAAGAAAAACACGAAAAUUAUGCAAUUAAUUCCUAAAAUUCAAAUAAUAAAUGAAAAUUCAUAAUUUUCAGAAUUCUAUAGGAAUAUUUCAAGCCAGACAAAAAUCACAUGCUCACAGCUGCCCUUCUUUGCUCGGAAACCUGAAGGAUUUUAGGGCAACGAAAAAUGAGCAACAUGAGAGAUUUUUGUCUGCUCGGCAUUCCAUGAGAAGCAUUUUGAAAACUAUCUGACCGAACCUCGCUUCAAAGGUUGUCUACAUAUCUUUGGCUAUAAAGAAUCAGGUCAGUGUAGUUCUAGAGUGUUUUGGUAGCUGGUACUACCAUGAGCUGUGAUUUCACUGCUACUGCUUGCUGACCUCUUUAUUACACCAAAAGGAAAAUCAAAAGCUAAGCUAGAUAUGCCUAUCAACGAUGAGUUACAAGAUUCCUAUCUAUAAAUUUCUUGAAACUUGAUAUUGAGUCUCAGCUAGAUUUUCUCUGGACUUGAUCUGAAUCUUGAUGCUAGUAUGUUGUAGGUUCCGGUUCUUUCUUCGGCAUUGAAACCAAGCGGGACAUGCGUGACUUGUGAUUUUGAAUCAAAUUUGAGCAGUCCGCAUCUUUCUUUUUGAGUUCAUUUCUUUUUCUUUUGUUCUUUUCUUCUGGAUUGAGAUUCACCCUUCCAGUCAUCUCGAAUCUUGCACCUUGAAGUAAAACCUGUUUGGACACCAAAACAAACCAGCGAACAAAAUUUUCUGCCCCAAUUUUCACUGGGAAAAUUUCGUGAGUUAUUUGCAACACAAAUCUAAGCUAUUUCUUUAUUGAAAAUAAUAAAAUCAAGAUUGUUUAUCUUUGGAAAAGAUUGCCAGGUUAUGCUGGCAGAUCGGCGGGUUGUGCCGGGAAAGAAAACGGGUCCCUGCUGGGGAUAAUAGAAGGAUCCACGGGUUAUGCAGCGAUAGGAGUAAAAGAGUCUCUACCGGGGAUGAAAAGGAAAAUCCACGAGUUAUGCUGGGAAGAAAUGAAAAAGAUUCCUGAGUUAUACCAGGGAAGAUCCAUGGGUUAUGCCGGAAUGAGAAGAAAAGGCUCCUGGGUUAUGCCAGGGGGAUCCACGGGUUAUGCCGGGAUUUAGACAGAAAAGGCUCCUUGGGUUGUGCCAGGGAGAUCCACGGGUUAUGCCAGGAUCGGAAGAAAAGGCUCCUGGGUUAUGCCAGGGGGAUCCACGGGCUAUGCCGGGAUGGGAGGAAAAGGGCUCUACCGGGAUAGAAAAAAAAUGAUCCUCGGGUUAUCCCGGGGAAGAAAAGAAAAAGACCCUCAGGUUAUGCUGGGUAUAAAAGUAAAAGGACCCUCGGGUUAUGCCCGAGGGGGAAAGAAAAGACCCUCAGGUUAUGCUGGGGAGAAAAAGGAAAGAUGAUCCUCGGGGAGAAAAAGUAAAGAUGAUCCUCGGGUUAUUCCGGGGAGGAAAAGAAAAGUCCCUCAGGUUAUGCUGGGGAGAAAAAGUAAAGAUGGUCCUCGGGUUAUGCCGGGGAGGUCCACGGGUUAUGCCGGGAUAAAAGGGAAAAGGUCCUAUUCUACCAUGAUGUUGGAUUGUUUUCUCUCUCUUUUUUUUUAAUAAUCCUAGGAAAAAAUUCGUCAGACUAGGUUUUCUAUAUUUGGAGAAAGAUUCAUCAGACUAAGAUUUUGAUCCUAGGAGAAAGUUCAUCAGACUAGGUUUNNNNNNNNNNNNNNNNNNNNNNNNNNNNNNNNNNNNNNNNNNNNNNNNNNNNNNNNNNNNNNNNNNNNNNNNNNNNNNNNNNNNNNNNNNNNNNNNNNNNNNNNNNNNNNNNNNNNNNNNNNNNNNNNNNNNNNNNNNNNNNNNNNNNNNNNNNNNNNNNNNNNNNNNNNNNNNNNNNNNNNNNNNNNNNNNNNNNNNNNNNNNNNNNNNNNNNNNNNNNNNNNNNNNNNNNNNNNNNNNNNNNNNNNNNNNNNNNNNNNNNNNNNNNNNNNNNNNNNNNNNNNNNNNNNNNNNNNNNNNNNNNNNNNNNNNNNNNNNNNNNNNNNNNNNCUAGGAGAAAGUUCAUCAGACUAAGAUUUUGAUCCUAGGAGAAAGUUCAUCAGACUAAGAUUUUGAUCCUAGGAGAAAGUUCAUCAGACUAAGAUUUUGAACCUAGGAGAAAGUUCAUCGGAUUAGGUUUUGUAUCUUAGGAGAAAGAUUCAUCGAACUAAGAUUUUUAUUGAGAGAAAAAUUCGUCAGACUAGGACUUUUUUCCUAGGAGGAAAAUGUGAAAAGCAAUGGCAAAAUUUUAUGCAUAUGCAGACAAAUAAAGGCAAGGAUUUGAGAAGCUUCCCUUUAUGGGAUGAUUGUUGCCUGUUUCUAGCUCCUGCACAUGUCUCUUGGGGUUGCACCUGCUUUUGGCAUGUAGCUCAAACUGCACCAGUUUCAAUUUGCAACAAAGAACAAUUGUUAGUUUGAAACGGAGGUUGGUUUCAUGACUAUGAUUGUUUGAUCUCGGCCUUGAUUGAGAACGUCUGAUUUCCCAAUCUUUGCCAUUAUGGUUGGUCGGCGGAACUCAACUUUCAAAUUUAGGCCUUUACUUUCUGAAUCUCUUCUCUCUUUUUUUCGGAAUAUUGGGGAACUAUUGUCUCCUCAAACUUUUUUACAACGGCUAGUCGCGUGGGACUUAACCUUUUCCAUCUUUAUUUUGCCUUCAUAGGCCUUUCAUUUUUGACUUCUUUGUUCCAACUUCAGUUUCAGAGAAUUUGGGGAACCUUCGCUUUUAAAACCUUUGUCGAGACGGUUAGCCGCGUGGGACUCAACCUUUUCAAUUUCAUUUGCCUUUACAGGCACGUCCAGUGGAUUUUCUCAUUCUAAGAGUUUGAUUUUGAAGUAUCGGCCGACAUGGCUAGUCGGGGUUGAUUUGAUGCCCCUGGAGAGAAUGGGUGCCUUUUGCACAUUAGCUCGUGUCAAACAAGAACCCUGUAAAUCAGUCUGGUUAUCCCUUCUUUGUCUUAGUUUUGGAACGGUGUUUGACCAAAAUGGAUUCAAAGAAAACAAACAAUGUGAAUGAGAAAUGUGUUUUAAGGCAAUAAGUGUCCCUUUCGGGGGAAGAAAAGAAGGACUUAUCUGGAGUACAUGCAUACUUCAAUGAACAUGACAGCCCUUUGGACUGGAUGCCUGAUCUAUGUGAACCGUCCGACUCUCAAAAAAUCAUCACUACUUUUGCUUCAAACUCGAGAAACCUUGCCAGGACUUUGUUGAUACCAAUGGCUGCGAGGAUUUUCUUUUCGAUCGAUCGGGACAUUUGCAGGUUUCCACUAGCAGACCUUCCUUAUAUCUCUUCUCACCAUCGCUUCGUAGUACCCGUGUGGGUUUUCACUAACAAGAGUCUCUCAUUUUGAUUUUUUUUUGCGUACCCUCGCCUUAUAGUGCCCGUGUGGGUUUUCACCAAUAAGACUCUCUCAUUUUGACUUUUCUCUGCUUACCAUCGCCUUAAGGUGCCCGUGUGGGUUUUAACUAAUAAGACUCUCUCAUUUUAUUUUUCUCAAUUUGGAUUACAUCGGAUCCAACUAAUUGUAUUUUCUUAACCUCGAGCCUUCUCACCAACUGAUCGGAAGGACUUCAACAGGAUUUAGGGAAAAAGGAUUUGGGUUGAGUUACAACUUUGGAACCUUUGAGCGGGAUCACCGCCGAACCAUUACAUCAUCAGCUCAAGUUUCUUGCUUGGGGGGACUUUGGAGUUUUAUUUUGGUGUGACUGAACCCCAGAGAGAGGCUGCCUACGCAUCCUUUCAGAAUCAAGUCAGACGUAGUUCGGGAAACUUUGUUUUUGGUUUUCUUUUUGUUUUUCUUUUAUGUUUUUCUUUUGUUUUUCUAUUUUGUUUUGUUUUUCUCUUUUCCCUUUUUUUCUCUUUUUUUUUUUUUGUUUUUGUUUGUUUUUUCUGUUGUUUCUUUUUUUAUUUUUCCAUUUCAUUUUUCAAUAACACUUUCAGAUUCCAAAGGGGGUAAUCAAAAAUGGAAGCCAGCUCAAAGGGUUUGCAAAGGGUUGAUAGUGUUUGGGUAGCGAGAAUGAAAGCCUUCGUCAUUCCAACCGGAGAUAUUAGAGCUAUAUGAAGGAUCAAACAAAGUACAUUUUGAUUACAUUUGCAUUGACGGUUGUUUCAGGACUUGGAGAAUAUUGGAAGUAUAUGGAGGAUCCAACAUAGUACCUUUUCACUGCAUUUGCAUUGGCAGUUGUUUCAGGGACAUUUCCUUUGAUGCGUCCCAAGUACAACGUACUGUUUCGCCAGUACUCUUAUUAUAAGGUAUAGAGCUUUCAAUCCAUAUCUAAGUGUACUUUGCUUUGCUUAUGAAUAUAUCUUUUUGAGAGUUUAAUUUGUAUGUGUGUGUCACACCUCCUUUUUACACGGUUACCCGAAGGAUAGAUGUAUAAGGAAGUUUUUUCCAAUUUAAGUGACAUUAUUCAAAAUUGGAUUAUUUGUUUAUUUAGGGUCGCCUCUUGGGAUAGGAUUGGCUUUUGGUGUCUGAAGUCACCGGUUUGUUUUGAAUCCCAAAUCAAGGAAAUUUUUCGACUGCCCAAAUGGAGUCUGCGAACCAGAAAUUCUAAGUAAGGAAUUUUGUUGACCCGAUGGAAGGUGUUAGGCGCCCUUGGAUCCCGUGGUUCUAGCAUGGUCGCUUAAACUAUUAUAAUUGGCUAAAAAUCUGAUUUUUAUACAUGUUCAUCCUACAGUGCAAUUUUAAAUUAUUACCGCUCUAAAUUAAAUUUUUAGGAAUGUGAAAAUCGUUUAAAACAUGUCUUUGGAUCGCGUCACAAGAAAUGCACCAGGAUCCGGAACACAUUUUAUUCGACGUUUUAGGAUUUGGAUUUGGGUCACAUGAAAUGCACACAUGUAAUUGGAAUAGUAAAAUCAUUGAAAGGCGCGCCUAAGGCGACUAAUGCAUUAUUAUCUUUGCUGGAAUCCGUGAAGUUCGCUAAACGGCACAUCUCGAAUUUUUAAGUAUUUUCAUAUAAGCAUUUGGCGCGGCACAUCUCGUUUUAUUAUUUAAAGGCCAAUGUAGAGCAAACUAUAAUUUUCUAUCGAAUUUGUCUCUAAUUGUACUAAUUGAUUAUAAGAUUUGGGUCUUGAUUUCAAGUCCAAAUUCAAACAAAAGGGUGAAACCUCUUAAUUUGAAUUCACUACAUAACUCGAAACCAAAAUUUAAAUUAUAUUACAUGGUCAUCAUAUCCAAUAUAACAUAUUUGAAUCAAGCACCACGUGGACCCUUUUGUUUAUGUGAGAUUACUGAGCUACAAAUUAAAGUGAAUAAUUGUAGAAGGCAGCGAUUAAAACAGAAUAGUUUUGAGCUAUGAUAGACGGUUAAAUUCACGCAUACUUGAGAUGCAUAAGCACAAAUUUCCUGGGUCAAAACCAAUAUGCCUGUUCGAACUAACACUAAAAUUCCAUGCUCUCAAUCGACUUUAAAAAUUACAAUGACAUUGAUUUUAAUAAUAUCCCAAUACAAAAGCUGAUUAUAACCAUUGGCAAGGUUAAAAUCUGCAACUAAGCUAAAACGAACAAUCAAUUUAUUGUUUGAAUUGUCGCUCUUAAAACAGUUUCACAUUUGGAAUACAACUUAUGAAAAUCUGAAACAGUCAUGAUCCUAGAAUCAUGUUACUUACAAUCAAUUCAAGCCAUUCAAAUAAACUCGAAAACAGUCACUUUCAGUCCAAAUUAUACAGUCAAAAGUUUAGAAGUACAAAUCAAAAUUUAAACUACGUCAACCUAUUACACAUCAUUUAAAGUCCAUUUGACUAAUAAACACAGUAAUCUAAACAGGUACAAUUCAGGAGCAGAUGCAGGAAUAUUUUUCAUUUCGUUUUCACCUCAAGGCUACACCAAGUCAAGUUCAUAUAUGUACCUGUAAAAUAGAGCAAAAGGAGAAGGUUGAAGAUCACCUAAGUAGCAACAAAACAUUAGCAACAAAUCACUUUUAAAUCCCAGGGACUGAUCUCAAAUAAACCAGGUAAUGAUUUUCCAACAAAUAAAAUCAAUAAACAACCCAAAAUAGCCUCAAAUACACUCGAGAUUGAAUCUAGUGAACCUCUGAAGUUUUAGCACUUCAAACACAUGCAUUUCAAGUCAUUUUCAUCUUAUUUAAGCUAGACAUUCAAAUUGAUAGCUGAGGACUAGAAUUAAUCUAAGGGAAACACUCUAAUGCAACAUUAUUUUUGGGAUUUUUCUAAGAAAUUUGGAUCUAAAUGGACUUUCUAGCUCUAAAUUUCAGCUUUGGCUUUUUGAAUUUGAAAUUCUAAUUUUUCAGAGAUCUUCGGGGUUCUGAAACUUUUGGGGAUUUUUUUUCAAGGGUCCAAACUUGAAAAACAAGGCAGUAGGGAUAGCCUUUUAUAGGCAAAAUUUAGGUUUCCCUCAUAUUUCAGUUUUACAACUUUAGUCCUUCUUUUAUUUUGUUUUUUAGCUUAGGCGGCCUCAGAUUUCUUACUGGUGCCUAAAGUCUUAAUACUAAAUUAUUGAAAUUCUAUUUCCAAUCCCAACUAGAAGGUUCUAGUGGUCUCUAAUUCAUGUUACUGCAUGAAUCUUACUAUCUAAAGGCCUAUACUACCCUUGAAUUCAAUCUAAAUAACUAACCUAUGUCAAAACUAGCCUAUUCUUUCUAAACUAACCAUGGUUAACCUGGCAUUUUUGGAAAUCAUUCAGCUAUAACCAAGUAAUCCUUAAAAUUGAAUUAGUAAUCCUAUAACCAAAUGAAACUGAUUUAAUGUUAAUUGAUAUAUAACAUAAGACUAAUUUUAUCAGUAAACUAGUAAAACGAUAA